AACUGACAAGUGAGAAGAUGAGAGGGGGGAUGAAUAGAUGCUGACAUAAUGAUAUUAUAUGGAGAAAAAGUCAUUUUUUAAAGAUCACAAAAGGAGAAGCAGGUUCCAGGAUGAACCACAAAAACAGUAACUCAACUUCUGUCCUGGGCUCUUUAUAUUAAAUCUCACCAGAAACCCAUUUUACAGGUGGGAAAAGCUUGGUCCACCUCAGCCUUGGGCCCAUGCUUUUAUAUCUAGUAUUAACAUUCAUUCUGGAUGUGUAGAAGUCUCUGCCCUCUUUCAGACAACAGUUACUGCUAUGGUUUGAAUGUAUGUGUCCCUCCAAGAUCCUCAUGUUGGAAUUUAAACCCCAAGGUGAUGGUAUUAAGAGGUGAAGCCUUUUGGAAAGUGAUUAAGUCAUGAUGGCUCUGCCCUCAAGAAUACAUUAGUGCUCUUAUAACAGAAGUUGAAGGAACCCCCCUAGUGCCUUUUGCCUUCUCCAUUCCACAAUGUGUGGAUAUAACAUUCUGCCAUAUGAGAAUUUAGCAAAAAGACACCAUCUUGAAGAAGAGACAACCUUCGCCAGACACCAAAUCUGCUGGCACUGUGCUCUUGGACUUCCUUAUCAAUUAAUGAUUCUAUGGUAUUUUGUUAUAGCAAUGGGAACAGACUAAGACAGUUAAAGAGCGACACACUUGCAUUGAGUGUAAAAGGAGGGAAACUUACAGUCCUUUUAAGCAGAAACCAAGCAAGUUGCUAGACAGCUGGCUGGUACAACUGGAAGAUGAGGGGGGUGGUGUGCAUGAUGGUUACUAAGGAAAAACCAGCAACAGAGGGACUUCUCCUAAAGUCCAUCAUGCCGAACUUUGAUCCAUUUGAAGAUGGCAGUGAAACACCUCAGAACUUUGUUUUGUUUUCUUUACAACUACGCAUGCCUGCUUUCAAGAAGCUUUGGCCCUCUCAGGGAGAUUUCCCUGAGACAAACAAUUUCCCAUGGGAAACAAAAAAUGGGCCUUGAUUAGUAUUCAGGGUCUUAUUUUUUAGAUUGAGUUUACAAAGCUGAAGAGGUUGAUGCCCUGAAGUGUGAGAAACUGACCCCUCAAAAUCAAAAUAAAUUCUUGCAAGCAGCUGCCACAUUAACUCAAAA
ensembl:lncRNA novel transcript